rnacentral:rRNA from 1 species
ACGAACGCUGGCGGCGUGCUUCACACAUGCAAGUCGUACGGUAAGGCCCUUUCGGGGGUACACGAGUGGCGAACGGGUGAGUAACACGUGAGUAACCUGCCCACAACUUUGGGAUAACGCUAGGAAACUGGUGCUAAUACUGGAUAUGUGCUCCUGCUGCAUGGUGGGGGUUGGAAAGCUCCGGCGGUUGUGGAUGGACUCGCGGCCUAUCAGCUUGUUGGUGGGGUAGUGGCCUACCAAGGCGGCGACGGGUAGCCGGCCUGAGAGGGUGACCGGCCACAUUGGGACUGAGAUACGGCCCAGACUCCUACGGGAGGCAGCAGUGGGGAAUAUUGCACAAUGGGCGCAAGCCUGAUGCAGCAACGCCGCGUGCGGGAUGACGGCCUUCGGGCUGUAAACCGCUUUCAGCAGGGACGAAGCUUUUUGUGACGGUACCUGCAGAAGAAGCACCGGCUAACUACGUG